rnacentral:rRNA from 1 species
UACGUAGGGGGCAAGCGUUGUCCGGAAUUAUUGGGCGUAAAGAGCUCGUAGGCGGUCUGUCGCGUCUACUGUGAAAACUCGGGGCUUAACCCCGGGCCUGCAGUGGGUACGGGCAGACUAGAGUGCGGUAGGGGAGACUGGAAUUCCUGGUGUAGCGGUGAAAUGCGCAGAUAUCAGGAGGAACACCGGUGGCGAAGGCGGGUCUCUGGGCCGUAACUGACGCUGAGGAGCGAAAGCAUGGGGAGCGAACAGG